GGCUGCGGCUGCGGCUGCGGGUGCGGGUGCUGCUAUUUGUUGUUGUUGCUUCCUGGCGGCCUACUCCUAAAUUAUGUAGAUUUGUUUUAGCAUAAUGCUCGUGCGUGUAUCUCUCUGAGUGGGCGCUCCGUGAGCGAUUUUUCCAGCUCUCUGCUGCAACGUUUUAAACCGCCAUUAAGUUUCCUCCAUAAAUAUCAGACAACGCCGCCCAGGACCCUAACAUCGCCUCUCACUUGGCACAGCCAACUGAGGAAUUAUGUAAAUUUGUUUGGUCACAGCACUG
rnacentral:lncRNA from 1 species